ACGCGAAGAACCUUAGCAAGGCUUGACAUAUAGGGAAAAGUGGCAGAGAUGUCAUGCCCGCAAGGGCUCUAUACAGGUGGUGCAUGGUUGUCGUCAGCUCGUGUCGUGAGAUGUUGGGUUAAGUCCCGCAACGAGCGCAACCCUCGUUCUGUGUUGCCAGCAUUUAGUUGGGGACUCACAGGAGACUGCCGGGGUUAACUCGGAGGAAGGUGGGGAUGACGUCAAAUCAUCAUGCCCCUUAUGUCUUGGGCUGCACGCAUGCUACAAUGGCCGGUACAGAGGGCUGCAAUACCGUAAGGUGGAGCGAAUCCCAAAAAGCCGGUCUCAGUUCGGAUUGAGGUCUGCAACUCGACCUCAUGAAGUUGGAGUUGCUAGUAAUCGUAGAUCAGCAACGCUACGGUGAUACGUUCCCGGGGCUUGUACACACCGCCCGUCACGUCACGAAAGU
rnacentral:rRNA from 1 species